rnacentral:rRNA from 1 species
UACGUAGGGCGCAAGCGUUAUCCGGAAUUAUUGGGCGUAAAGAGCUCGUAGGCGGUUUGUCGCGUCUGCCGUGAAAGUCCGGGGCUCAACUCCGAUCUGCGGUGGGUACGGGCAGACUAGAGUGAUGUAGGGGAGACUGGAAUUCCUGGUGUAGCGGUGAAAUGCGCAGAUAUCAGGAGGAACACCGGUGGCGAAAGGCGGGUCUCUGGGGCCGAUACUGACGCUGAGGAGCGAAAGCGUGGGAGCGAACAGG